CACAUGCAAGUCGAGGGGCGAGCGGGAAGUCAGCUGCUGACUUGCCGGCGACCGGCGCACGGGUGAGUAACGCGUAUCCAACUUCCCCUUAGUAGGGCAUAGCCCGUAGAAAUGCGGAUUAAUACCCUAUGUUUUCCGAUGAGGACAUCUGAGCUGGAACAAAGGUUUACCGCUAAGGGAUGGGGAUGCGUCUGAUUAGGCAGCAGGCGGGGUAACGGCCCACCUGGCCGACGAUCAGUAGGGGUUCUGAGAGGAAGGUCCCCCACAUUGGAACUGAGACACGGUCCAAACUCCUACGGGAGGCAGCAGUGAGGAAUAUUGGUCAAUGGGCGCGAGCCUGAACCAGCCAAGUAGCGUGCAGGAUGACGGCCCUAUGGGUUGUAAACUGCUUUUUAUGCGGGGAUAAAGUCACCCACGUGUGGGUGUUUGUAGGUACCGCAUGAAUAAGGACCGGCUAAUUCCGUGCCAGCCGCCGC
rnacentral:rRNA from 1 species